CGACUCAACUACGUCGAAAAUUCACGGGACAACACCACAAAUCUGGAGUAUAAUUUAGUAGGUCGAAACGAUACACUCCAACUAGCCAACAACGUCAACCAGCUCACCACAAGCGAAAACGUAUCGUUGUCCUAAAACCUGAAUAAAAAACGAUCACCUCAGAGACCACAGUCUCCCACCAGUUAACACACAAACUGCCAAAGUCAAACCUCCAACAACGGAAAGUCAUCUACG
rnacentral:lncRNA from 1 species